UACGUAGGGGGCAAGCGUUGUCCGGAUUUAUUGGGCGUAAAGAGCGUGUAGGCGGUCAGGUAGGUCCGUUGUGAAAACUCGAGGCUCAACCUCGAGACGCCGAUGGAAACCAUCUGACUAGAGUCCGGAAGAGGAGAGUGGAAUUCCUGGUGUAGCGGUGAAAUGCGCAGAUAUCAGGAAGAACACCGGUGGCGAAGGCGGCCAUCUGGACGGUGACUGACGCUGAGACGCGAAAGCGUGGGGAGCAAACAGG
rnacentral:rRNA from 1 species